rnacentral:rRNA from 1 species
UACGUAGGGUGCAAGCAUUGUCCGGAAUUAUUGGGCGUAAAGAGCUCGUAGGCGGCUUGUCGCGUCGGAUGUGAAAGCCCGGGGCUUAACUCCGGGUCUGCAUUCGAUACGGGCAGGCUAGAGUUCGGUAGGGGAGAUCGGAAUUCCUGGUGUAGCGGUGAAAUGCGCAGAUAUCAGGAGGAACACCGGUGGCGAAGGCGGAUCUCUGGGCCGAUACUGACGCUGAGGAGCGAAAGCGUGGGGAGCGAACAGG